rnacentral:misc_RNA from 1 species
GGAAAAUUCAAAAUUAUGGAGGUACAUAAACGGAAAUAUAUACACGACGGAGAGAUCGAAGCAAAAAAGCAAAUGAAAACGGAGGAAAUUGAUGGAACGGCGGCUCCGGUGACGGCGGCGGCGGUGGUGGAGGACGACGAAGUGGAGGAGUUUUAUGCUAUACUGCGGAGAAUACGAGUGGCGGUGAAGUAUUUCGAGAAGGGAAACGCCGAGGGCAGUGGCGCCGGGAGAAAUCUGACGGCGGCGAAGCCGUGGAGUCCGAAUUUCCGGCAGGAGGAAUUGAAACGGGCUGUUGACGGCGUUAAAGAGAGAGAAACCGUGGAAGAUAAUGCGGGUUUGGAUCUUAACGCCGACCCGGUUACUGAUCCG